rnacentral:rRNA from 1 species
GACGAACGCUGGCGGCGUGCUUAACACAUGCAAGUCGAACGGAAAGGCCCUGCUUUUGUGGGGUGCUCGAGUGGCGAACGGGUGAGUAACACGUGAGUAACCUGCCCUUGACUUUGGGAUAACUUCAGGAAACUGGGGCUAAUACCGGAUAGGAGCUCCUGCUGCAUGGUGGGGGUUGGAAAGUUUCGGCGGUUGGGGAUGGACUCGCGGCUUAUCAGCUUGUUGGUGGGGUAGUGGCUUACCAAGGCUUUGACGGGUAGCCGGCCUGAGAGGGUGACCGGCCACAUUGGGACUGAGAUACGGACCAGACUCCUACGGGAGGCAGCAGUGGGGAAUAUUGCACAAUGGGCGGAAGCCUGAUGCAGCAACGCCACGUGCGGGAUGACGGCCUUCGGGUUGUAAACCGCUUUCGCCUGUGACGAAGUGUGAGUGACGGUAAUGGGUAAAGAAGCACCGGCUAACUACGUG